CCUACGGGAGGCAGCAGUGAGGAAUAUUGGUCAAUGGACGAGAGUCUGAACCAGCCAAGUAGCGUGAAGGAUGAAUGCCCUAUGGGUUGUAAACUUCUUUUAUAUGGGAAUAAAAUGUUCCACGUGUGGGAUUUUGUAUGUACCAUAUGAAGAAGCAUCGGCUAACUACGUGCCAGCAGCCGCGGUAAUACGGAGGAUCCGAGCGUUAUCCGGGUUUAUUGGGUUUAAAGGGAGCGUAGGUGGAUUGUUAAGUCAGUUGUGAAAGGUUGGGGCUCAACCGUAAAAUUGCAGUUGAAACUGGUAGUCUUGAGUACAGGAGAGGUGGGCGGAAUUCGUGGUGUAGCGGUGAAAUGCUUAGAUAUCACGAAGAACUCCGAUGGCGAAGGCAGCUCACUGGACUGCAACUGACACUGAGGCUCGAAAGUGUGGGUAUCGAACAGGAUUAGAUACCCUUGUAGUC
rnacentral:rRNA from 1 species